rnacentral:lncRNA from 1 species
CUCAUCUGAUCUCUGAAACUAAGCAGGAUCAGGCCUGGCACUGCCAUGUUCCCCUGGCUGGGGAGCGUCCUCGUUAGCUGGCAUGUUCCCGACGGACUUGGACUUCAGCCCUGGGGCUUUCUUGCUGACAACUUUAUAAUUCCAGUGGGAUCGGUGGACUCAACAGGGACUGCUGGGGUCAGAAGGAAGAUCCUGCAGCUUUCACUGUGAGAUCUGGCCCAGGGACUCCGCAGAGACUCCAAGAACUCUGGAAAGACAGUGUCCAUAUGAUCAGAGGCAGAUAGCACUUACUACACAGACAUCUCCUGGGGGAACCAAAGUACAGUUCACUGCACUGGAUACUGUGAAGUAGAUAAAGUCCAAGA